AAGAACUUUAUCCCACAGGUCAGGAACAAGCCAAGAAUGUCCACUGUCAGCACUUUUAUUCAACAUAGUACCAGAAAUCCUAGCCACAGCAAUUAGACAACAAAAA